CGGGGAAGGGCGGAAGCGUGAUCCAGCCAUGCCGCGGUGUGUGAAGAAGGUCUUCGGAUUGUAAAGCACUUUAAGUUGGGAGGAAGGGUAGUAACCUAAUACGUUGCUACUUUGACGUUACCGACAGAAUAAGCACCGGCUAACUUCGUGCCAGCAGCCGCGGUAAUACGAA
rnacentral:rRNA from 1 species